rnacentral:rRNA from 1 species
GGCUGAAAUUCGCCUUCAUGAAGCUGGAAUUGCUAGUAAUGGCAGGUCAGCAUACUGCCGUGAAUACGUUCCCGGGCCUUGUAUACACCGCCCGUCACACCAUGAGAGUUGGGAAUACCCGAAGCCUGUGAGCUAACUUAUAGAGGCAGCAGUCGAAGGUAGAAUCAAUGAUUGGGGUGAAGUCGUAACAAGGUACC